rnacentral:rRNA from 1 species
UACAGGGGGGGGCAAGCGUUGUUCGGAAUUACUGGGCGUAAAGGGUUUGUAGGUGGCUUGCUCAGUCAGACGUGAAAUCCCUCAGCUUAACUGGGGAACUGCGUCUGAUACUAGCGAGCUUGAGUGCAGGAGAGGAACGCGGAAUUCCAGGUGUAGCGGUGAAAUGCGUAGAUAUCUGGAGGAACACCGGUGGCGAAGGCGGCGUUCUGGACUGCAACUGACACUGAAAAACGAAAGCCAGGGGAGCAAACGGG